UACGUAGGGUGCAAGCGUUAUCCGGAAUUAUUGGGCGUAAAGAGCUCGUAGGCGGUGUGUCACGUCGGCCGUGAAAACCUGCAGCUUAACUGUGGGCGUGCGGUCGAUACGGGCAUCACUGGAGUUCGGCAGGGGAGACUGGAAUUCCUGGUGUAGCGGUGAAAUGCGCAGAUAUCAGGAGGAACACCGGUGGCGAAGGCGGGUCUCUGGGCCGAUACUGAC
rnacentral:rRNA from 1 species